UAGUCUUUAUUUGAGGGAAUUCUAUAAACUAGUCUAGUGGUACUUACACUGAUGAGCUUAACACCGAGCAAGAAAAGUCAUAUUGGCAAGGUAAAAAGAAAAGGUGGGCCACGUAGAAUCUCUACAAUGAAAACCAAAAACAUGGGAACAUAUGAUCGAAUAACUACAGAGUAUACACUGUAACAACAUUUAUACUUGCAGGUAAAACAAGGGGGGCGACACCACGGUAAAAACAGUUUUCGGACCUCUGAUCCAAGUUGCUUGAAAUGUAUGUAAUUCAUGUAUACCCGUAUACAAACAUGUAUACCGCCGAAAGAAGAAGAAGAAGAAGAAGAAAACAGACAUCAGGGACUCUUACAUCGAUGUACAAUUCUUGGCCUUAACACGACGAUGAACACCUAUGUUACGCAGGGACUUGCUUGCUCUACCGGCCACCCCCUCUGCCUCCUUGGCCGGUUUAGGGGACAGAAGAGAGGCUCUUAUUACACAGAACGAAUCAAUAAAUAAUGGAAUGGCACGAGAGGAAUUACAAGGUGAAAAGGAACAGUCGUCGUCGGUGAUGGUGUGAUGUGAUGGCGAUGAUCGACUCGAGGAGGUGACGCAUGGAACGGUGACUCGGUGAUGGUGAUGGUGAUGAUGCUUCGAGGUUAUUGUCUGUCUGGAACUGGAAGUAUACUGAUGAUCCAUGGUGCUGAGCGCCUAUUGAACCAUGGCGAGGAAGGAGCUCGCGGGGGUCGAUGUCGGCGCUGCUGUCGCCGCGGUGGUUGGCGGUGGAGGCGCAUUGUUGGUGCCGACGGGGUUUGGCCUCUGGAACUGUAUCCUGUACUGCAUUUUGCCGUCGUCCUCGCCGUCCUCGCCGUCGUCAGUGUAGUCAUCGCCCAUGUCGUCGCUGUCGGUCUCGUCCGUCGUGAACUCCCGGUGCGGCUGCUCGUUCAGCUCCCUCACAGCGUCUUCUGGCUUUACGGCAAGCGCAUAUCCGGUUAGUUUCCACCCCAAAAACAUCCAUCGAGAUCGAGACUGAUCGAGCUCAAACACGCUAGGCUGCAAGGUAAAAAUGGUGUGCGCGAUUACCUUUUUUACGCCCAGGUCGAACGUGGCCGUCGUCGGCGUUGUCUGCCCGUUGCUUGUCGGCACCUGCGCGGCUCCGACUCCUCCGUUGUUCCUCUUGUCGGUGUCGUUGAUCUUCUUCCCCUCGAUCUCGAUCUCGUGCCGGUUCAGGUUCUGAUGCUCCGCGACGGCAGGGACAGACACGACGGCGUUGUUGGCCGCGGCGCCGCUGCUGCCGCUGCCGUUGUGCUUCUUGCGGUAGAUGGCCUCGAGCUGGUGGAAGUACGGGCAUGUCUUGGAGUCCUCCGGCCGCCUCUUGUUGCUCUCCUUCACCUUCUUGAAGUACUUGUUGAUGUUCUCCCACUUCUCCUUGCACCGUUUGGAGUUGCGGCUGUAACCCAGCCGCCGCAUCCCGGCGGAGAUCUCCUCCCACAGCGGGCCCUUUGGUCCGUUCUCCUGGUAGCGAUUGUCCAUGUCCAUGCGGAGCUGGAUAAGCGCGUGCACCUCCGUCUUGGGCCACCGUGACGACGACGGCCCCCCUCCGCUCUCCCCUCCUCCCAGACCAGCGGCCUCGACGACGUGCUGCUCCGUGGCGACGGGAACCAGCGCGAGUGAUAAGCCGGCAGAAGUCGGGGCCGGUGCGCUGCGGGGCGUUCCGGCCUCUUCGCGCGUCGUUUCCUUGUGCUGCGGUGGUUGCGGCGGCGGUUGCUGUUGGAGCGGCGCAGCUGGGAUGGGUUGCGGCUGCGGCUGCGGCUGCGGCUGCUGUGUGGCCUGUGACGGCGGCGGUGGCGGCAGGUGCUGCCGAGGUUUCUUUGGCGGUGGCGGGGUCUGGACCUGCAUCGGCGUUGGCAUGGGGAUGACGACGGGUGGGACAUGCACGGUCUGACCACCGAUGCGCUGGAGGAAGGCGAUGAUGGAGGCAUCGCGGGAAGCUGCCGCGGCGCGCUCCUGCGCGAGCUGCUCCUGCUCGCGGUUAAGGCGGGCCACCUCCUGCCGGCGCCAGGCCUCCUCCCGCUCCGUGCGCUCGGCCUCCCUCUUCUCCAUGGUCUCCAGGAACCGCUGCUGCAUCUCCUCCUGCCUCUGUACGACCUGCUUCAUCAGGCCCUCGAAGAAAGCCAUCAUCUUCUUGCUGCCGCCGCCGCCGCGCUUGCGCUUGCCGAGGCCAUCCGGGCUGCCGCCUGUCUCGGCCGUCAUGUCGUCAUCCUCGGAGUCGUCGUCGUCGUCCGACUCAGAGUCGGACAUGGACGGGAAGCUGAGGCCUUGCAGGCUGACAGGCAGCGGAUGGGGAGGCUCCACGACCGGCGCAGGGGCCGCCGAAGAUAUAGGGGCCGGCUGCAUCGGCCCCGGCGGCGGCGGCAUUGCGCUCAUCGGCUGGGGCGCCGAGAAGGCGUGCAUCUGCGGCGGGGGGGCUGCACUGACGACCAGCGGCAAGUGCUCCUGCUGCUGGUGCUGCGCGGCUGCGGUGGCGGCGUGCAGCGCCUCGAGCUCCUGGAAGAAGCGGUAGCUCUUGCCGUCCUGCCGGCCGGCCCGGCCCUCCUUGGUGCGCUUGUAGUACUUGUGCACGUUCUCGAACUUCUCCUUGCACUUCUUGGCGCUCCUCUUGUAGCCCAGCUCCGCAAGCUUCCUGAGAUCAAAUCAAGACAGAAACGGAAGGUUAAUUACUCGCGUUGCGUGGUACGUACUAGAAUCAAUCAAUCUAUCAACCAAAGGACUGAAAGCAAGAGAAACAGAGCGGAUUAAAUGAGCAGCGGUGCGUUUACAGGAGGAGGAAGAAGAAGCUUCGAGUGUGUGUUUUCUCUUUUUCUUCCUCUCCGGGCCGACGAAAGAGACAAGGAGAGGGAAGGACGAGAGAGAGGGCAAGGAAGGAAACAUAUAGGCAGAAUGGGAAUUAGUUAACCGCGGGCCAUCUCGUCUUUUUAGGGAUGAGAGGGGAAUUGAAGUGGAUGGCAGUAGAAAAAUGAGGGGAAGGGGAGGGAAAUAAACAAAGGAAGAUGAGUGAGGCCGCAUUGGGAUGGGAGAGAAAGGCUGCCUUCCUUCUUUUCCCAAAAACUGAAAGCGAAAAACAGUGGCAGACUGCGCCUGCAGCCUGCCUGCCUGCGCCUGCCCCUGCCCCUGCACUCACACCGUGGUACGAACGAUCCCCAGGAGCCCAGAUUCUUACCACCACCCUACGCCUACCCAGCCGCUGAAACCGAGGAGCAUUUGAUUAGAUCGGCCAGGAAAGGCAAGGAAAACUGCGAAUUCGAGGGGAAUCGCUGGCGGUAACAACGGCGCAUAAUUUGCCAUCAUUUCAUGUGGAACCAUUCCAUUCCAACCAGCGCUAAAUUCCACGAAACCGUUAGCCGCCUGCGCGACGGGAAAUCAUGCCCAGGACAAGAUGCCGCUGCGGUGAAUUGCGAAAUGCGUGUGGAAAUUACAGUACCGAGUAGAAUUUUACUCUCUCUCUUACCUGGAGACCUCCUCCCAGAGGGGGCCCUUGAGGGUGGCGUCGCGGAAGGUGGUGUCCAUCUCCGACCGGAUCCUGAUGAGGGCCAGCGUCUCCUCCCGCGGCCACCGGUUGCCGCCCGACCCCAGCCCGCCGGCGCUGUGGCCGCCGGAGUCGCCCAGCAUGUCGUCGUCGGGGAAGCUGCUUCCGCCGGCGCCCGACGCGGCGGCCAAUUCCUGUUCGUAGCUCGGCUGUGGCUGCUGCUGCUGCGUCGGCGGUGGCCGGACGCUCAGCGGCACCGGGCCCGGAGCCGGCUGCGCGGAGAACGGCCCCAUGUCCGCCGGCGGCGGCGCCCCGUACUGAGACCCGCCACCCUGGUGGUGGUGCUGAUGCUGCUGCUGCAUGGAUGAUGCCGCCACGGCACCACGGCCUCUCCUCCGCCUUGAACGCGCGCUCUCAAAUUGUCCGGCGGGUACCAAGCUAGCAAGGAAGGCGAAAUCUGUAUGUGCAACAGGUGGUUGGCUGUAGAACUGUGUGGAGCAAUCGAGAGGGGGAAGGACUGGUGAAUUGUAGGGAAUUAAUUGUGGUUUCUGGGCCGUCUAGCUCAUCUCCUUCCUCUCUCUCGCACACACACCGAGUGAGUGUGGUGUGGGCGGAGAGGGAGAGGGAGGGAGUAGAAUUGGAGGGAGAGGAUGAAAUAGGAAAAGGAGCCCUGGUGGUACAAGUAGGGGAGGGGUGGGAAGGGAAGGGGAGGUCCGGAGGAGGAGGACGCUGGCUGGGGCGGGGAGGGGAUGGGAGCGAGCGAGAGGAUGGUGAAAAAGAGUGGGGGGAGCGUGGACAACUGGAAAGGGCCCAAAGAGUGUAAGAAAGAGAGGGUGAGGGGGUGGGAGGAGAGAGAGAGGAAGCUAAGCUAGGCAAAGGAGGAGAAAAAAGAGAGGGAAAGUAAGGGGGUGCCCCUACAAAAGGGAGGGCUGCUGGUGCCUCUACUGAUUGAUCUCUAGUUCUCUACCCUACGGCCCUUCCUCCCUCUCCCACCAAGAACCGAAGCGCAACCAAACUCCACCGCAGUAUACGUAUACGUACCAGAUGUAUGUAUGAUUUUUUGCGGACUUUGUGUGCGCCGACGACGCCGUUUGUUACGGGGGCGGUGGCGUUUUAUAGCGGCUGGUCCAGGGCCAGGGCCCGGCCUGGGCCUGGUGAGGCGAUAGAUAGAUAUGGGGAGAUUAAUGAGCCGGGCAUGGGGACAAAAGAGGGAGGGUGCGGACUGCGCAGGCGGUGAAACGGAAACGCCUGCAUGGGUUGAGGCCUCACCGGACACGUGUGCGGCCCCCCGGGCCGACGUGGCGCGGCCGUGCGGGGACAAGUGCGCCGCGCUGACAUCGCCCUCCUCCGCGUCCGAGCGCGGCACAUGACACACUCACUCACGCCGCGCGCAUGCAUGCAUGCAUGCAUGGGCGCCCAGCAGCCCCGCGCGCCACCGUGCCGCAUACGCGAUCAAUAUGUCUCUCCCCCCUCGCGGAAUACGGUGGAGAUAAAGUUUUUUUGUAGAUAGAAACGGUGGAGAUAGAGUGACUGGAUAGGUAUAUCUCCUAGCCCACUUUCUGUCUUGGAGCUAGGCCGAUGUAUUUUGUGCUACUCCAGUAGUAGAAAAGAUUUGCCUUUGCGUGCAUGCCGGCCGCGUGCCCGCGUGCAUGGACAUCCUCUCACAGCGUACGUGUUGCCGCGCUGCAUGCAUGGCGUGCCGUGUCGUGCUCGGGCCGAGCGAGCCCCUCCCUCUUCCGACCCGCCGGAUGGGCAGGCCGGCGCCCCUUGUAUCUACCCGCCGCGGGUCGUACCGAGCCCAGACGCGCCUCGUCACUGUGUCGGCAGGUUCAAUGCGCGCGCGCGCGUGGUGAAAAACGUACUGCAUGCGGCGCAGGUUGGCGCCGCUGCUCCACAAUUAAUAACCAACUCGUCGUCUAGUUCAAGAUAGAUAGAUAGAUAGAUAGAUAUCGCGCACUAGUUCUGCGGAUUUCUGCAUUAGUCUGGCAAGAUAUGCGCAUUUGUUUUGCGCGUUCGGUCACUAAUCUGGUAUGAUAUGCGUAUCCUUUUUCCCGAUCUAUACUCGGCUGGCUAGAUCUACGUAUUUAUGUGCAUGCGAAGCAUGCCCGCGUGGUUGGUCUGGUUAGGCAAUUAAUCACCGCACCCGCGUCGUGAAUGAACCGAUCGAUCUAAUCAUCUUGCUGCCGCUGUAGCUAUAAUUUCGACAACGGAGAAUUAAUAGUGGCUUAUACAUAAAAAUAAGCAGAGUGUAAAAAUAAGAGAGUAUGAGCCCUGGACGCUAACGGCUCAAAACGGGAUAGUACAUCGGUGCUGGGCCCCGGGCGAAACGAACGGUUCUGAAUUUCUGAUGAGGUGUGGACGCCGCCGCUGUACAACAGCAUGGUUGGUGGUGGGCCGAGUACCCUGUAGGCCCACAGUAGCAGUAAAAACUGUCUUUUUUACUUCCACAUCUGUUGCUAAAAAACACUGUUUCUCAAUAUGCAUUCAGACAAACUAUAAAUGUACAAAUUAAAGGCACUCCGUUUAUACCCGUACUACCCCAUACAUAAUCAGACGUGUACAGUGCUGUACAACUGCACAUGUGUCCGGUAUACUAAUAUUACGGUAAAAUACCACUUGUUGAGGCCCACCGCGGCCUGUGUUUUUAGAUUCCAUUGGAAGCGUCCCGCAGGGCUCACAUGUCAACCAGUAAUCAUGUUUGCAACUCUGGCACGUAUCAAAUUAGUUGCAUUUUUGUAUCAAUAUGUGAAAAAUAGGACGAUCUGUGUGUGUAUAUACUACAAGGAUAAGCUAGGCGAUCAAUCAAUAAUUACAAGGAGUGUGGACGAAGCAACAAAAAAUAUGCAGUACAUGUCUUGGUUGAAAAUUUCACACCCAACCACCCGGCCGCCACUGCUAAUUAAUUAUUUGUGACUACCACAAGAAAAAUAUACUAUGCCCGUGGCCAUCAAUAAUCGAAGCAUCAGGCUAACUGUUUAUUUACUGCAAUGAAAAACCUAUCUAUUUGGACCACGAACAGAUAGAUAGAGCCCAGUUAGUUCAUAUUAUUAGGCCCAAUCAAUCAGUAUCUUAAUUGAGCAGUCGUGUACAUGUACCUUUCAACUAUCUGUUGAUUGUACACUCAAAUUUCCCUGAUUUCUUUCUUUUACUAGAAAUAGACGGGGCCAGUUAAACAGAUGGCUUGUGAGCCUGGAAGAGAGCAAUAAUACAAGAUGCAUAAUACCCACCAUUCCCCUGAUUUAUUUGUUUACUUAUUACCAAAAGUGAGGUAUUUGCGUAUUCAUGUGAGGACGGCGGGCCCAGUGAAACAGAAUGGCUUGUGAGCUUGGAAGAGGGCAAUAAUACAAAUCUUUUUGUGGCUAACCAACAAAAUGUGUUUGGGAUUAUCUAGAAAGAAAAAAAAAAGGGUUCGGUGCUGGCUGGACCCUCGCUCUUUGCUGCACCAUCCGCCUAACAGUCAUGCAUGUCGCAUUUGUUGCCAUUCCACCGUUGUGCUGUCUUCCCGCUGAAUUAUUGCGUGCACGGAAAAAAUAGCACGCCAAAUCACCUCUUCCUUCAAUUUUCCCUGAUUUUUUUCUGGUAGUAGUACCUGCCAAGUUACCUGACGAACCGUGCAGCGAAAUGUUGGAAGCCACCGUGCGUAUAGGCGGCAGAGUUGAAAUUCUUUCCCAGAAGAGACGAUGAAGAGGGUUGCUUGCGUCGUUAAAAAGUUAGCCAUGCACCGCAACAGCGGUGCGGGGGCGGGGAGGUCCACCCUACGGGACGGAGGCUACAACGGAACGUGGCGGGCGUUUAUCGCGGAUCCUUACCCCACACCUCCGUCCAAAAUUCCUAUACCGUGCCAGCCUGGUAAUACCACCUCGGCACACCACCCGUGCCCCAUGCUCCCGGCCACGCGCGGAGAAAAAAGAGCGCACCAAAUCUCUACUUGGGGUUUAGAGAACGUUUGUGCAAUUUUUCAAAGGGCAGUACCUGGUCGACGCGCAGCCGCCCGAUGCCAGCGAUAACAGCCGUUUGAUCUGGCUUCCCGGUUUUGUCCACCUCGCCUCGCACAGGAUUGACUUUGUCCUUACUCCGCCUCCGCCUCCCCGUGAACCCUCCCGCCUCUAUCUUCGCCUCCGCCUCCGUUUGCCUCGUCCCCGCCUGCUUGCAGCUCCGGUGGACACUCAUGUCGUCGACGCCGUCAUGCCCGGGCGCAGCCCUGCCGUGAUGGUUCCAGCUCUGCUUUGGCUGGUUGUAGCAAAAACGAUUGCUAGUUCCGGCAAAAUCAAAUAUGGUUCCAGCAAAAAAAAUGUAGCAAGAAUCAUGACGGUAACGGCAACAUCUUCUCGAUUUGUAGCAAAAUAGAAAAGGGGUUCCAGCAAAAAUCGUAAGUGGUUGCAGCAAAAAAUAAAACACGGCGCCACCGUUCGUCGCCGGCCAAGCGCUAUCUUCGUGUGCCACAGCAAAAUCAAAUGUUGGUUCCAGCAAAAAAAAAUUGUAGCAAAAAUCAUGACGGCGAUGGCAACAUCUUCUCGAUUUGUAGCAAAAUAGAAAAGGGUUCCAGCAAAAAUCCUAUGUGAUCCAGCAAAAAAAAUGAUGUAGCAAAAAAAGUCAUGGCGACGGCACCACAAACCUCUCAAUUGCAACCAAACGAAAAGAAAGUUCCAGCAAAAAUUGAUUGUGGUUGCAGGCAAAAAAAAUAUGUAGCAAAAGAAGUGAUGGCGGCGACGGCACCACCAACCUUCAAUUGCAGCAAAAUCAAAAGAUGGUUCUAGCAAAACAUGAAGUGGUUCCAACAAAAAGAAUGAUGCAGCAAGCAACCCCCACCCCCCGGCUGUUCCCCUAGCACUGCACCUCUUAGGUGUCGCCGACCAUGUCUUCCCCUCUUGAUGAGCGUGGUGGUGGGUGCCUCCCAAAGUAGCGCCAUUUUGAGAGGGAGGACGUGUGAAUGGUGGUGGCUGUCAGAUUGGCGCGGGCUUGGCGGCACUCGUCGCCGGCGAGAUUUAUUUGGGAGCCCACAGGGAAAGAAAGAUGGGCGAGGGGAUAAGAGGAGGCUUAGCGGUGGAAAAUGAGUGGCUAGGAAGCACAUCGUGUGACUGGAUAAGGAAGGCUGAAGCGGUGUGUGCGUGGACCCGUUGCCAGGUUGGACGUGACCGGCGGAGUUUCAGCCGAUUGUUCGGCCCGCAACGUUUUCCUUUUUCAAAACGCGUUCACACAAUGGUUUUAGAGAAGGGUUGUAGUAUAAUUUUUAAUGUCCAUAACGAAGGAUGGCAGAAGAGAUUACUAAUGAACAUGGAGGAGCUCCCACUCAAAAAAAAUAGGGAGGAGUUCACCCAUGAACGCUUUCGCAUCUCGUGAGCCCAGCACCUACGCCCUAGUUAUUUUGGCGGUUAAAACAUACCCACAAAAUAAGCCCCCUCCCCCCUAGCAAAUGGUGGAGGAAGUUGGAUCUCGGAUACGGUUGACUUAUUUCUUGAUCUAGUGAAAAGUGAUGAAUCCGAGCAAGUUGUGGCGACCUCGAACAAAACUAGAGGUGGUCGAGGAAUUGCGAAAGAAGUGGGCAGCGAGGGAGCGGCCACAGGGAGACGACAUCCUAAAAAACGUCCAUCAAGAGGGCGGUUCUGGCGGUGGUGUGGGCUUCAAAGGAGGAGCGGGCGAUGAUGUUUGCAGUGGGAAUGCCAGCACACUGACCAGGCUGCGUAGGUAGCGACAGAGGCAGAGUUCUUAUUCUGGACCCAAGGAGGCAGGUGGAAGGACUUGGGGGUGCAAGCUCCUCCUUCCUAAAUCCAAAUCUCACCGGAGCCCAAUCAUUAUCGUCUUCCCCACUUGAUUUGAGCAAUUUUCUAUGUCGCACACAAUUAGUACAAGGAUCAAAAGGGGAAAUACAUUGGCAUCCCUCCAUCAAAACACUUCAAUCCUUUCACAAAAACCUUGAGGAGCCUCCGAUUUAAAUCUAACCCUUUUGAGUUCAUCGUUGACUUGUUAUUCUCAGAGGUUGGAGACCCCUAAGCAGUAGAAGUCCAUGGAAAGGAUUGAAGUCUUUUGGCGGCUUACAAAAUAAGCCACCACUCUCCAAAUUCUCUCGUAAACCAUCUGCCCCAUUGGUUGGGACUCAUGGACUACCUAUCCAUUGGUUCCUCGCAGUGCCUUGUGUAACGCUCCGGAUCCGAUGCGCUAGGUGUCUUCCAGUCAUUCGCCCUCGUUGCCAUGUCAUUUGCUUGUGUGUUGCACCGUUGCUCCAUUUUGAGCAUGCUCUAUAUGAAACUUGCUUAGAAUUGCAUGUAGUUUCAUCUUAUCAUGUUGAAUCCAUGUUUUGAGAGUGUUUGCUUGAUGUUUGAAUGUACUUUGCAUCAAUGCCAUGUUUGACUUGUUUUGCUCAUAUCUUCUAGGCCGUAGCUCCGAACUAUAUGAUCUUUAUAUGUAACUUGACUAGAAUUUCAUGUAGAUCAUCUUGGUGCAUUUUAACUUGCUGUUUUACAACUUGAACAUAAAGUUUAUUCAGAUCUGGACCAAUUUCGAAAUUUGCAUAUGAGGACUUACCAGACUUGUUAUAUGUUGUUUCCAGCCUCAUUUAAACUUGCUUUGAUGUGUUGUUCUUGUAUGCAUCAUCUCUUGCCAUGAGUAGCCUCAUAUAGCCUUUGUCAUGCAUCAUACUUGGUUGUACAUCAUGUCAUGUUUAUGUGUUGUGUGUUUACCUUAUUGUUUUCUUCUUUCCGGUUGUGCUUCUUCUCGAUAGUUCAUGUUUCGUUGCGAUCGUGAGGAUUCGUUCGUCUACGCUUGGUUCGUCUUUGCCCGUUCGUCUUCUUCAUGGACUCGUUCUUCUUCCUAGCGGGAUUUCAGGCAAGAUGACCGCUACCCUGGAUCUCACUACUAUCAUUGUUAUGCUAGUUGCUUCAUUCUAUCACUAUGCUACGCUACCUAUCACUUGCUCUUCAAGCCUCCCAAAUUGCCAUGUCAGCCUCUAACCUUUUCACCCUUCCUAGCAAACCGUUGCUUGGCUAUGUUACCGCUUUGCUCAGCCCCUCUUAUAGCGUUGUUAGUUGCAGGUGAAGUUGAAGAUUGCUCCAUGAUGGACAUGAUUAUGUUGGGAUAUCACAAUAUCUCUUAUUUAAUUAAUGCAUCUAUAUACUUGGUAAAGGGUGGAAGACUCGGCCUUAUGCCUGGUGUUUUGUUUCACUCUUGCCGCCUUAGUUUCCGUCAUACGGUGUUAUGUUCCUUGAUUUUGUGUUCCUUACAUGGCCGGGUGUAUAGGACUGAUACAUCUCCGUCGUAUCUAUAAUUUUUGAUUGUUCCAUGCCAAUAUUAUUCAACUUUUAUAUACUUUUGGCAACUUUUUAUACUAUUUUUGGGACUAACAUAUUGAUCCAGUGCCCAGUGCCAGUUCCUGUCUGUUGCAUGUUUUAUGUUUCGCAGAAAACCAAUAUCAAACGGAAUCCAAACGGGAGAAAAACGGACGGAGAAUUAUUUUGGAAUAUUUGGGAUUUUCCGGAGGAACAAUCGACGCGAAACGGUGUCCGGGGUGGCCACGAGACAGGGGGUGCGCCCUCCCCCCCGGGCGCACCCUGGGCUCUCGUGGGCCACCCGUAAGGCGGUUGAUGCCCUUCUUUUGCUGCAAGAAAGCUAAUUUUAUGAGAAAAAUCUGGGCGAAAGAUUCACCCCAAUCGGAGUUACGGAUCUCCAUAUAUAAAGGAAACGAUAAAGGGGAAGAAACAGAGAACGCAGAAACAGAGAGAUAGAUCCUAUCUCGGAGGGGCUCUCGCCCCUCCCAAGUCAUGGGAGCGAAGGAUUAGAGGGGAAACCCUUCUCCCAUCUAGUGAGGAGGUUAAGGAAGAAGAACAAGAAGGGGGCCUCUCUCCCCCUUGCUUCCGGUGGCGCCGGAACGCUGCCGGGGGCCAUCAUCAUCACCGCGAUCUUCACCAACCCCACUGUCAUCUUCACCAUCAUCUCCAUCACCUUCCCCCAUCUAUAUCCAGCGGUCCACUCUCCCGCAUCCCGCUGUACCCUCUGAUAAUCCCCAAGUGCAGGGAAUCAUCGUAGCAAUUCCCAAAGGUGGAAGUGAUAAGUAUGGAGUGUCGAACCCACAAGGAGCUAAAGGUAAGAUCAAUAUUCUCUCAAGCCCUAUCUGCCACUGAUAUGACUCUACGUACACCGAAUGUUUGCUGCCAACUAGAAACAAGAAAUAAAACUGUGUUGUGGGUAUAAAGAGGAUAACUUUGUAUGAUACCGGGGAGAUAAAAUAUAAAAGUAGGUGUUGUUAUCAUAAAGUUAGAAUAUAAUACUCCCUCCGUAAACUAAUGUAAGAGCGUUUAGAUAACUACUUUAGUGAUCUAAACGCUCUUAUAUUAGUUUACAGAGGGAGUACUAAAUAAUAUAAAUAGCGAGUGUGGAAUAAUGGUGGAUCGGUGUGCGGAAUUUUCCUAGGCAAUUGUUAACAAGAUCGAUAGUCGUCAUUGCAAUUUCAUAUGAGGGAGAGGCAUAAGCUAACAUACUUUUCCAUCCUUGGAUCAUAUGCACUUAUGAUUGGAACUUUAACAAGCAUCCACAAAUACUAAAGAUCAUUAAGGUAAAAACCCAACCAUAGCAUUAAAGCAUCAAGUCCCCUUUUAUCCCAUACGCAACAACCCCCUUACUCGGGUUUGUGUUUUCGUCACUCAUGCAACCCACUAUCAGUGAAUCAUGCACGUAUUGCAACACUCUACAACUGGAAUCCCUCACGCUUGCGCAACACGGAGGGCACCGUAGGACAGCACAAAAAUAGCCCAUGCUAACUUACAUCCAAUUUGAUAUAUAUAUCAUGAUCUUUCAAACACGGGGAGCUUGCCAAAGGAUAAAAUGAAAAAGGGAAAGGUGAGGAUCACCUUGACUCAAGCAUAAAGUAAAAGCAUAAAGUAAAAGAUAGGCCCUUCGCAGAGGGAAGUAGAGGUUGUCAUGCGCUUUUAGGGUUGGAUACACAAAAUCUUAAUGCGAAAGAACGUCACUUUAUAUUGCCCCUUGUAUGUGGACCUUUAUUAUGCAGUUCGUCGCUUUUAUUACUUCCACAACAAGAUCGUACAAAGUUUAUUUUCUCCGCACUAAUAAGUUAUGCAUAUUUAAAGAGCAAUUUUUAUUACUUGCACCGAUGACAACUUACUUGAAGGAUCUUACUCAAUCCAUAGGUAGGUAUGGUGGAGUCUCGUGGCAAAACUGGGUUUAAGGAUAUUUGGAAGCACAAGUAGUAUCUCUACUUGGUGCAAGGAAUUUGGCUAGCAUGAGGGGGAAAGGCAAGCUCAACAUGUUCGGAAGGUCAAUGACAAUAUACUUUAACUGAGAUGUCGGAAAACAUAAACCAUUACGUUUUCUUCCUUGUCCAAUGUCAACUCUUUUAGCAUGUCAUACUUAAUGAGUGCUCCCAAUCAUAAAAGAUGUCCAAGAUAACUUAUUUGUAUGUGAACCUCUCUUUCCUUAUUACUUCCUAUUAAUUGCAACGAUGACCAAAACUACGUUUGCCAACUUCAACAAUUUUUAUGCCUCAUACUCUUUAUAUGUGGAGUCAUUACCAUCCAUGUUAUAAGAAAAUGAACCAUAUAUAAAUUCAUAUUCAUGACAUUCAACUCAUUCAACAAUUUACUCAUAGGAUAUAAGUGAAGCACACGAGUAAAUGAAAAACUACUCCAAAAGAUAUGAGUGAAAGACACUGAGUAGUCAAAUAAUUAACUAGCCAUAGAAGGGUUCCCUUUUUUAUUAAAUAAUAAAAUCCAAUGAUUUUAUUCAAACAGCGAGUAAAAUUGAAAUAAAAUGACAUUGCAAGGAUAACACAACUCAUGUGAAUAAGCAAAAACUUAGGCUCAACCGAUACUAACAGAUAGUUGUUGAACAAGAGAGGUGGGAUGCCUACUGGGGCAUCCCCAAGCUUAGAUGCUUGAGACUUCUUGAAAUAUUAUCUUGGGGUGCCUUGGGCAUCCCCAAGCUUGAGUUUUUAUGUCUCCUUAAUUCCUCUCAUAUCAUGGUUUCUCUUUUUUUAUCAAAAGCUUCAUUCACAACAAACUCAACAAGAACUCGAGAGAUAGGUUAGUAUAAACCAAUGCAAAACCUUAUCAUUUUCUACUGUAACAAAUUACUAAAAUUAUUAUUCAACAUUUAAUACUAAAUGCCUCUGCAUAUUUAAUACUCCUAUCAUCAAAUAGAAUCAUUAAACAAGCAAACAUAUGCAAACAACGCAAACAUAACAGCAAUCUGCCAAAACAUUACAGUCUGUAAACAAUGCAAGAGUAUCAAUACUUCCCUAAUUUCAAAAAUUAUGAGAGAAAAUUCCCACUGUAAUAAAUUUAUCAGAUCUUAAUAUGCAAAAAGGUUCAACAUUAUACCAUUCACUAACUUUUCUAGGGAAUUUUUGCAACAGCAGUAAACUUUCUGUUUUCAAACAGCAACAUGCAUACUUGCAAAAUAAGCAUGGUAAAGGCUAUCCUUGACAUUUUUAUUGAAACUAAAGAUGCAAAACAUUAUUAUAAAUAACAGAAAGAAAAUACUAACAAAAUAAAAUGACGCUCCAAGCAAAACACAUAUCAUGUAGCGAAUAAAAAUAUAGCUCCAAGUAAAGUUACCGAUGAACGAAGACGAAAGAGGGGAUGCCUUCCGGGGCAUCCCCAAGCUUAGGCUCUUGGUUGUCCUUGAAUAUUACCUUGGGUUGCCUUGGUCAUACCCAAGAUUAUCCUCUUGCCACUCCUUAUUCCAUAGUCCAUCGAAUCUUUACCCAAAACUUGAAAACUUCAACCACACAAAACUCAACCAAACUUCGUGAGAUAGGUUAGUAUGAUAAAGAGUAAACCAUGCACUUUGGUACUGUAAAAGACAAGGUUCAUAAUUGUUUUCACAUAAUUCCUACUGUACCAUAUUAUUUGUACAAUUUAUAUUGAGAAAUAUAAGCCAUAGAAACUAGAAAACAAGCAAACUAUACAAUGAAAACAGAAUCUGUCAGAAACAGAACAGUCUCUAAUGAUCUGAACAAUAACCAUACUUCUGCUACUCCAAAAAUUAUGAAAUAAGUUGGUCGAUGGGAGUAAUUUGUCUAUUAAUCUUCUGCAAAAAGAAUCAACUCAAAAGCACUCUUGUGUAAAAAAUGACAGCUAAUCUCGUGAGCGCAAAGUUUCUGUUUUUUACAGCAAGAUCACAUUAACUUUCACCCAAGUCUUCCCAAAGGUCUUACUUGGCACUUUAUUGAAACUAAAGCUAUAAAACAUGAUUAAUACAGUAGCUUGAUCAUGUAGACACACAAAAACAGUAAGGAUAAAUAUUGGGUUGUCUCCCAACAAGCGCUUUUUUUUUUCUUUAAUGCCUUUUAGCUAGGCAUGAUGAUUUCAAUGAUGCUCGCAUAAAAGAUAAGAGUUGAAACAUAAAAAGAGAAUCAUGAAGAAUAUGACUAGCAUAUUUAAAUCUAACCCACUUCCUAUGCCUAGGGAUUUUGUGAGCACACAAUUUAUAGGAACAAGAAUCAACUAGCAUAGGAAGGCAAAACAAGUAUAACUUCAAAAAUUUAAGCACGUAGAGAGGAAACAUGAUAUUAUUGCAACUCCUACAAGCACAUAUUCCUCCCUCAUAAAAAAAUUCAGUAGCAACAUGGAUAGCAAAUUUGUUCUCAUAAUCAAUUGGAUCCUCUUCCGAAAUGGUGGAAUACUAACUAAAGUUGACACUCUUCCAAAUCCACUUUCAUAAAUAUCGUACAAAGAUUCAACCUCCUCCAAGAUAGUGGGGUCACUAAUUCCUAAAGUUGACACUCUUCCAAACCCACUUUAAAUUAUAGUAUUAUUCAUACUCCAAAAGAUAUAAGUGAAGUUCCUGGAGCAUUUUACAAUUAAUAUAAACCAGCCAAUAUCCAAGCUCAAAAUAUAUAAGUGAAGCGCAUGGAGCAUUCUAAAAAACCAUACUCAAACGAUUUAAGUGAAGCACAAAGAGCAAUUUUAUAAGAUCAUACUUAAAAGAUAUAAGUGAAGCACAUGAAGCAUUCUGUAAAUCAGUAAAGAGCUAGCUCAUACUAGCAUGAUUCUUAAAGAAAAUACAAACACAAAGGACACAAAUCAUGUGAACAAAACAAAAACCGAGAUAUACCGAUAUUUGUUGAAGAAGAAAGAUGGGAUGCCAACCGGGGCAUCCCCAAGCUUAGAUGCUUGAGUAUCCUUUGAAAUAUUUGCUUGGGGUGCCUUGGGAAUCCCCAAGCUUGAACUCUUGUCUCUCUUUAUUCUUCUCACAUCGGUAAUUCCUCGUUCUUCAAACACUUCAUUCACAAAAAACUUAAACAAAAACUUGUGAGAUUCGUUAGUGGAAUAAAGCAAACUACCACUUUAAGGUACUGUAAUUAACUCAUUCUUUGUUUAUAUUGGUGUUAAACCUACUGUAUUCCAACUUUUCUAUGGUUCAUACCCUGCAUACUAGCCAUAGAUGCAUCAAAAUAAGCAAACAACACACGAAAAAUAGAAUCUGUCAAGAACAGGACUAUUUGUAGUAAUCUGGAAGUUCAGCAAACUUCUGUAACUCCAAAAAUUAUGAAAUAAAUUUGAAAAUUUGAAAACUUUGUACAUAAGUAAUGUGCAAAAAGUUUCAGACCCAUUUGACUUUCCAGUAAAAAAAUGUAAAUUCAUGCACUACAACCAAAGUUUCUGUUUUUGUUCUGCACAUAGUAAGCAAGCAAUCUUAACAUACUAAAACCAAAGCUUGGCACAAAAUUUUUAUAAUACAAUGGAUAUAUACAAGAGGAUAAUUAUUUACAGAGAAACUUCCAUGAAAAAUUCUACAUUGUUUCCGUAAGCAUGAACACAAGUGCUCAAGGUCGACCCUCACUUCUUCAAUGCAUAACUUUCCAAUCACUUCUCUUUUUGAAAAACUUUUUUAGGCAUGAGAGGCAAGUAAAUAUUUUUUGGUAUUUUCAUUCUUUUAUUUUUUUUGUAUGUUUCACCCACAACUAAACAGAAACAAAAAGGGAAAAACAAAAUCUACUAAGUGAAGAAAGCAAACAACCACACACGAAAAUAUCAACCCCACGCUAUUGCUCCCCGGCAACGGCGCCAGAAAAGAGCUUGAUAAUCCCCAAGUGCAGGGAAUCAUCGUAGAAAUUCCCAAAGGUGGAAGUGAUAAGUAUGGAGUGUCGAACCCACAAGGAGCUAUAGGUAAGAUCAAUAUUCUCUCAAGCCCUAUCUGCCACUGAUACGACUCUACGUGCACCGAACAUUUGCUUCCAACUAGAAACAAGAAAUAAAACUGUGUUGUGGGUAUAAAGAGGAUAACUUUGUAUGAUACUGGGGAGCUAAAAUAUAGAAGUAGGUGCUGUUAUCAUAAAGUUAGAAUAUAAUACUAAAUAAUAUAAAUAGCGAGUGUGGAAUAAUGGUGGAAAGGUGUGCGGAAUUGUCCUAGGCAAUUGUUAACAAGAUCGAUAGUCGUCAUUGCAAUUUCAUAUGAGGGAGAGGCAUAAGCUAACAUACUUUUCCAUCCUUGGAUCAUAUGCACUUAUGAUUGGAACUCUAGCAAGCAUCCGCAAAUACUAAAGAUCAUGAAGGUAAAAACCCAACCAUAGCAUUAAAGCAUCAAGUCCCCUUUUAUCCGAUAUGCAACAACCCCCUUACUCGGGUUUGUGUUUCCGUCACUCACGCAACCCACUAUAAGUGAAUCAUGCACGUAUUGCCACACCCUACAGCGGGAAUUCCUCACGCUUGCGCUACACAGAGGGCACAGUAGGACAGCACCGAAAUAAAACAUACAACUCGUACCAAUCUAGAUCACCAAUCAACUCAAGGACAAAAGAUAUCUACUCAAAACAUCAUAGGAUGGCAACACAUCAUUGGAUCAUAAUAUGUAUCAUAAAGCACCAUGUUCAAGUAGGGAUUACAGUGAGGUGUGGGAGAGUGGGCCGCGUAAAAGAGAUGAGGAUGGUGAUG
rnacentral:lncRNA from 1 species